rnacentral:lncRNA from 1 species
UUCCUAAUUUUAAUAGUAAACUGACACUAUACUUUGAAUUCAUGAUGAAAUGCUAAAAAUGUGUACUCUUCUUUUCUGCCAGUACUCGGCUGACGGAGUUUUUGGCCGUUCUGUGGUGUGUAAUGCAAUCAGCAUGGAAGCAUCGUUGGUCGUUGUGGAUUUUGAGUAAGAUUUCUCACCCUCUGCUCAUGAUGGUGGUGACCAGCUCAGCUGUGUUGGAUGGUAUCGUGGCCAUUGAGGCUCUGCUCACCUGGAUCAACGGUGAGUUUGAGGACUGCAGAGCUGGUGGGUGGGUGUCUGCACAGAGUGGGUGUAGGAAGGCAGCUGUCGCCGUCUGGGGGGAUGUUCUGGCUUUUUCAGACAUGGCAGGUGCUCUCGAGGAUCCCCAGGAGAACCGAGAUGGUUCCAGAGUCAGAGAGAAACACCUGCAGAGUGACCUGCUUCAGGAUGAGCUGCUGGGGGAACUAGACGGCCGGGAAAGAGAAGAACUCAUUGCAUGGAUCAGUGCCACGGAGCCACAAAGCCCCGAUGUCUCCAGCAGCCCUGCCCCUCCUUGCUUCAUCGCCCAGCUCCCUGACUUCCCCCAGCACAGCAGGGAGCUCAACGAGGAAGCACGGGCUGCCACCAGGACCCCCAGCGACCCAUUCUGGGGGACCCGCCGCCAUCCCUUGGGCAGCUCCAAGUGCCCCCGACACGUGAGCUGAGGCUGCAGCAGUGCAGCACAGAGCAGGACAAUCUCUUGCUUUGCCUGGAUGGCAGAGCAGGACCUGAUUCACCCAGGGCACUGCGGCCCUUUGGCUUCCAGGGCACACUGCUGACUCACGUUCAACUUGCCAGCGACCAGAACCCUCAGAUCCCUUUCCUCAGUGUCAUUUGCGUUUAUUGUUCUUGAGGUCAAUGCUUUUCAUUCCUUUCAGUUCUACUGAGGAGGGGAUCUGCUUUGUUUCUAUGUUCAGUGCAUCGGUGUGCGUCUGAACGUAGGCCACUGCAGUCUCUCAGCAUCUGCUUAA